ACACUGAUGGUGAAACGGUAUCAUGCUUGCCUUCCAAGCAAACGGCGCGGGUUCGACUCCCGCUCAGUGUA
rnacentral:tRNA from 1 species